GGACAUGCCCAAGGGAGCACGUUCCAAGGGCCAGGCAUGGCCGUGCCAGAGGAGGACGAGGAGCCUUCGCCCUUCACCCACAGGUAGCGUGUUGCAGUGGAAUCAUCCUGCCCCAUUCCCAUCGCGGCUCCUGGCGCCCCAAUGCUGAGCUCAUCCCGCUGCCGUGUGUUCCUGCGGGGGGGAUGCAGCCGGAGCCGGCCUUUGGCAGCAGCAUCAGGUCCUGGCAGAGGGAUUCUCUAUGUGUGCUUAAGUCCUUCUUGCCUUCCCUUGCAGGGAAUUGUCCCGGGAGUAAAGGGAGUUUCUAGACCCCCAGAGCGGUGCCGCUUCGGUGCCCGGCGGUGAAUGACUUGAUCCUUGUGAGCGCUGCAGUGCAGGAGGGGAAAAUGCAGAUGGAAAGGUCUGGAACUUCCCAGCUCGUUCAGCCAUCUCAGCUAUGGGAGGAGGAGGGCACCAAGUGUAGGACCCCGGUGCCAGCAUGGAAUCCCGGGCACGAAAGAGCACCCCUGCCCCUUCCUGCAGCACAGGGAAAGCUGGUUUCCAAGAGGACAGUCCGUCUUUACUGCCAUUAGCAAUUAGGGGGGUGACAGGCUUCAAUCCACAUGUUCUCCUUCCCCUGUUUUCCACAUGGGAAUGCUGUCUGGCUGGUGCAGACCUUCCCUCCUCCGCCUGUUUUCCAUGUUUGGGAAGGGGUUGAGGUUUUCUGCUUGGUUUGAGCUGCCAUCAGUGGGUUUGGACACUGACUAAACCCAUUAACCUGCAUCCUGCUGGCCCCAGCCCUGGGAGGUGGCGCUCAGCCCUGCGGGGGGAUGACAGGAUCAUACCUUGUGGCUCCUCUUCCAAGCCCCAGGCUGGUUUCAUGUGCACUCUGAGGGGUGCUGAGCUCCAUCCAUCACCACAAGAUAACUGGGGUCAAGUGGAAGGCAAACCCAUGGAACCACAGUGGAACCACCCGGCUCUGAAUCCUCUUUCCUGGGCGAGGGAGAGGAAGCUCCAUGGAGGGAAGAGGAGCAGGACGGGAGCGGAGCAGCCCUCGAGGGAGGGCCAGGCCUCAGCCUCUCCUCUCUGCCAGCCACAAACCUCCUUAGUUUUCCCCAAUCCCUUCUUUCUUUAGUUGGUUCCCAGCCCUCAGGAGGCAGGAAUCCCUUAUUUAUGUUCUUCAGUGUUGUUUACAGAGUCGUGGGGUCCUUCGCCCCCAAGGCGCUGCUUUUCCCACCCAACUUCGAGGGAGAGGAGGGGAGGAAAGGGCUGGGCCAUGGCGGGGAGGAAGGGGGUUUCGGUGGGGUUUUCUUUCUCUUUUACAAAGCACAUUCACUUUGAGCCACUCCCGAGGCUGGACUCUUGCCCCCCAAACCCUACACUGUGAAGUGAAACUGCCUUGAAAGACCCCUCACCGCUAUUUAUUUAAUUAAACCCCUCAUUUGAAAGU
rnacentral:lncRNA from 1 species